UAGGGAAUCUUCCACAAUGGACGAAAGUCUGAUGGAGCAACGCCGCGUGAGUGAAGAAGGAUUUCGGUUCGUAAAACUCUGUUGUAAGGGAAGAACAAGUACAGUAGUAACUGGCUGUACCUUGACGGUACCUUAUUAGAAAGCCACGGCUAACUACGUGCCAGCAGCCGCGGUAAUACGUAGGUGGCAAGCGUUGUCCGGAAUUAUUGGGCGUAAAGCGCGCGCAGGCGGUCCUUUAAGUCUGAUGUGAAAGCCCACGGCUCAACCGGGGAGGGUCAUUGGAAACUGGGGGACUUGAGUGCAGAAGAGGAAAGUGGAAUUCCAAGUGUAGCGGUGAAAUGCGUAGAGAUUUGGAGGAACACCAGUGGCGAAGGCGACUUUCUGGUCUGUGACUGACGCUGAGGCGCGAAAGCGUGGGGAGCAAACAGG
rnacentral:rRNA from 1 species